CGGACGCUCACAUGCUAACUGCAGCGGCAGAAAGGGAAGGCGGAGGAAUCCAGCCUAUACCUGCAUCUUCAAGGCAGCUGCACUCAGCCAAGGGGAGGGCGAGGAGGGCCCGGUGGCAAGAUUGUGGAAGACACCAAAGGAUUUGACCAAAACUCAGAAACUCCAAAUGGCUUGGAUUUCCCCGAGUGAAGCGACUUGGAAGAGGGAGGACAAAGAUGAGGAAAAUGGAAGGCUGGAUCAAGCUGCAGCAGCCUAUUGGGCAAGAGAUGGAUAAAGGGAAACUCUUUUAAACCCGAGGCAACACCCCCAGAAGCUUGUGAGAGUUCCACCCCAGGCCUUUAUGGCCAGGAAGGUGGAGGGAGAAAGAAAGCAAGAUUUGAGAUCAAAAUGGAGAGAAACUCACAUUCUCCCCCAAAUCCCUCUAGAACCACAUAGGAAAUCCACCUCCAUUAAUUUACAUCAAGGGAAAAGAGGAAAGUGUUGUCUGGAAAUAUCUAGUGUGGCGUCCAAAUAAAAAAAAACAAACCCACUCCAAUUUUUGUGUCCCAGCUCUUGGAGAGGUUGAUUGGCUUUCAUGCCAAAUAUCCUGCUGAAUUUUCUUCGGGUCUUCAAGACCUGGUUACUUUUUUUCCAUUUAAUUCUUCACAGCCUGUGUUCCUGAGAGGGCCGAGGGGGAAAAGGAGAGAUUGGCUUCAUGCCACAUAGCCUGCCUGGAUUUUCACUGCAGGUUUUCACAGCCUGUUUAAUUCUCCCAUUUAGUUCUCUCCUUUAGAUCUUCAGGCCUGGUUAAUUGCCUCCUUCAGGUCUUUAUGGCCUGUGUUCUCCAGCGGGCAGAAAGAGAAUUUGAAUGGUAAAUGGGAUAUUUGACUUGAGCCGUGUAUCCUUGGAGAACUUUCACUGCAGGUCUUCAAGGCCUGUUGAAUGCUCCCACUGCCCUUCGGGUCUUCAUGGCCUGAUUGUGUUUCCACUGCAGGCCCUUACCACAUGCGUACUUGAAAGCCAAGAGAAUAUCUGAGAGAGAAAAGUAGGGGCUUCUUGCCAUUUGACACGUUUGAACUUCCAUGGUGGGUCUUCAAGGCUUGUUUAAUUCUCUCAUUUAAUUAUCUCCUUUUGGGUCUUCACAGCCUGCAAAUUCUCUCCUUCAGGUCUUCAAGGCCUGGGUCCUCAGAAAGCAAAGAGAACAUUUGAGGGGGAAGAGGUGGUCUUCAUGGCCUGUUCGGUCCUCCUAUUUAAUGAUCUCCUGUUGAGUCUUCACAGCCUGCUCAGUACCCCCAGUUAUUCCCUCCUGCAGGUCUUUACGGCCUGAGUAUUUAAAAACAACAUGUGAUGGUUAGAAGGAGAGAGGGACUUCAGCUCCAUAUAUAUUGUUUGAAGUUCCGCUUCGAGUCUUCAAGACCUGUUUAAUUCUCUCAGUCAGGUCUUCAUGGCCUGUUGAAUUCUCCCUUACGGGUCUUCACGGCCUGUGUACUCAAAAGUAGAGAAGGACAUUUGAGGGGGAAAAGGAGAAAUUGGCUUCAUGCCAUUUAUCUUCUUGGAAAACCCACUACAGGUCUUCAAGACCAGUUUAUUUCUCCCAUUGAAUACUUUCCUUCAGGUCCUCGUGGCCUGGGUACUAGAAGCCCCAAGAACAGAGGAGAGGAAAAAGGAAAGAUUGACUUCAUGUCUUUCAUCCCGUUGGAACAUCUCCAAGGCCUGGUUAAAUCUCCCAUUGAAUGAAUUAUCCCCUGUUUGGGUCUUCAGGGCCCUUUUAGUUAAUCUCUUUAAUUCUCUGCUUCAGGUCUUCAUGGCCUGUGUGGUCAAAAGCAGAGGGAACAUUUGAGGGGGAAAAGGGAGAAUUGGCUUCAUGCCAUUAUCGUGUCUGAAUUUCUUCACGGCCAGUUUACUUCUCCCAUUCAAUUCUCUCCUUCGGGCCUUCAGGGCUUGUUUCAUUCAACAUGUUUAUUCCCCCAUGCAGGUCUUCAAGGCCUGUUUAAUCCUCUCCUUCAGGUCUUUAUGACCUGCGUUCUCCAGAGAACAGAGAGAAUAUUUGAUGGGCAAAGGAGAGAUUUGACUUAAAAGCCAUGUAUCCUCUAUGAAUUUCCACUGCAGGUCUUCAAGGCCUGUUUAGCUCUCCCACUGUCCUCCGAGUCUUCAUGGCCCGUUUGUCUUUCCAUUGCAGGUCUUCACCGCCUGCGUACUCAAAGGCAAAGAGAGUAUUUGAGGGGGAAAAGGAGAGAUGGGCUUCAUGCCCUUCAUACCGUUGGAAUUUCUGUGGCAAGUCUUCAAGACUUGUUGAAGUGUCUCAUUUAAUUCUCUCCCUUCAGGUCUUCAUGGCCUGCGUAAUGCUCUCUGUCAGGUCUUCACGGGCUGUGUACCCAAAAGCAGAGAGACCAUCUGAGGUGGAAAAGGAGAGAUUGGCUUCAUGCCAUUUAUCUUCUUGGAAAACCCACUACAGGUCUUCAAGGCCAGUUUAUUUCUCCCAUCGAAUUCUUUCCUUCAGGUCCUCGUGGCCUGGGUACUAGAAGCCCCAAGAACAGAGGAGAGGAAAAAGGAAAGAUUGACUUCAUGUCUUUCAUCCUGUUGGAACAUCUCCAAGGCCUGGUUAAAUCUCCCAUUGAAUGAAUUAUCCCCCGUUUGGGUCUUCAGGGCCUUUUUAGUUAAUCUCUUUAAUUCUCUGCUUCAGGUCUUCACGGCCUGUGUGGUCAAAAGCAGAGGGAACAUUUGAGGGGGAAAAGGGAGAAUUGGCUUCAUGCCAUUAUCGUGUCUGAAUUUCUUCACGGCCAGUUUUCUUCUCCCAUUCAAUUCUCUCCUUCAGGUCUUCAGGGCUUGUUUCAUUCCACACGUUUAUUCCCCCCUGCAGGUCUUCAAGGCCUGUUUAAUCCUCUCCUUCAGGUCUUUAUGACCUGCAUUCUCCAGAGAAGAGAGAGAAUAUCUGAUGGGCAAAGGAGAAAUUUGACAUAUGCCAUGUAUCCUCUAUGAAUUUCCACUGCAGGUCUUCAAGGCCUGUUUAAUUCUCCCACUUUCCUCCGGGUCUUCAUGGCCCGUUUGUCUUUCCACUGCAGGUCUUCACCGCCUGCGUACUCAAAGGCAAAGAGAGUAUUUGAGGGGGAAAAGGAGAGACGGGCUUCAUGCCCUUCAUGCCGUUGGAAUUUCUGUGGCAAGUCUUCAAGACUUGUUGAAGUCUCUCAUUUAAUUCUCUCCCUUCAGGUCUUCAUGGCCUGCGUAAUGCUCUCCGUCAGCUCUUCACGGGCUGUGUACCCAAAAGCAGAGAGACCGUCUGAGGUGGAAAAGGAGAGAUUGGCUUCAUGCCAUUUAUCUUCUUGGAAAACCCACUACAGGUCUUCAAGGCCAGUUUAUUUCUCCCACUGAAUUCUUUCCUUCAGGUCCUCGUGGCCUGGGUACUAGAAGCCCCAAGAACAGAGGAGAGGAAAAAGGAAAGAUUGACUUCAUGUCUCUCAUCCUGUUGGAACAUCUCCAAGGCCUGGUUAAAUCUCCCAUUGAAUGAAUUAUCCCCUG